rnacentral:rRNA from 1 species
CACGUAGGCACCAAGCGUUGUCCGGAUUUAUUGGGCGUAAAGAGCUCGUAGGCGGUUCAGUAAGUCGGGUGUGAAAACUUUGGGCUUAACCCAAAGCGUGCAUCCGAUACUGCUGUGACUUGAGUUCGGUAGGGGAGUGGGGAAUUCCUAGUGUAGCGGUGAAAUGCGCAGAGAUCGGGAGGAAUACCAGUGGCGAAGGCGGCCUUCUGGACUGACACUGACGCUGAGGCGCGAAAGCCAGGGGAGCAAACGGG